rnacentral:lncRNA from 1 species
UAGCAAUUAAGGACCAUAGUUCACUGUAAAGUGGCCUGAUUUAAAGACGUAGCCAUUUUCAUUGUUACUCUGGUAACACAGGCCAUACUAACCUGGACACCUACUAGAAGACAUAUAAAGACUAGAAACCUUUGGGAAACCCAAGCUUGCCAUCCACCAUUUAGGAUGCCUACAAACCAACUGUUAGUUGCUCCUGUAAACACACCAUGUUUUCCUCUUGAGAGACUUCUUUAUUGUAUUUGGUGUCAGUGUCUAAGGAAACAGCAGUAUCAGCCACCUUUACAUUAAGCUUUC